UACGUAGGGUGCGAGCGUUGUCCGGAAUUACUGGGCGUAAAGAGCUCGUAGGUGGUUUGUCGCGUUGUUCGUGAAAUCUCACGGCUUAACUGUGAGCGUGCGGGCGAUACGGGCAGACUAGAGUACUGCAGGGGAGACUGGAAUUCCUGGUGUAGCGGUGGAAUGCGCAGAUAUCAGGAGGAACAUCGGUGGCGAAGGCGGGUCUCUGGGCAGUAACUGACGCUGAGGAGCGAAAGCGUGGGGAGCGAACAGG
rnacentral:rRNA from 1 species